CCAUCACGCCGGAUUUUUACUUACAGGAGGAUGAAGCGGACAAUGAGUGGUUUGCAGUAUAAAAAAAAGUUUGGCCGACUUGUGAAGCUCGUUAAAAUAAAGGGAUACAUUUAUUAUUGGAUGGUUAUAUUUGACUGGUGGUGAGAUGAGAAUGAUUUUUUUUGGAAGGUUUCAAAUUUUAAUUGAAUUUUUGUCAAAUUGUUUAUUUUUUCUCUGGUGAAUUAUUUAUUCCGUGUUAAAAUGUUUACUGUGCAGAUUUACUUAUCAGAUUUAAAAGCAUACUUUAUUUAUUGCACAUACUAAUUUUUUUAGGUGGGUGCAUAAUGGAAAAUCUCAAGUUGUGUCGUAUUAAACGGUAGAAGAGUUGAACGUGCUGUAAUAAAUAAGGUGCAGAUUCUCUCUACAAGUACAUAAGUGAGUGGUUGUGGUUUAGGUUGAUCUAGUUGGUGUAGAUAAAAUUUAGACUCAUUUAAAUUGGAAGAAGACGACGAUGAUGAGUUAAGCUGAUACAGGCCCAAUUAUGGAGGAGACUGACAACAACAUCGAGAACGUUAACGUGCAGAUCGUCCGUAUUCUGUGAUGAUGAUGACCCCACGAAAUUCAGAGACGCCUCUUUAUUACUGUAACCAUUAGAGGUCCACCCUUAUAAUCUCGGCUCAGCAAGCACGAGCCAUAAAUGGAAACUGCGAAAUGAAUUAGCGAUCGUAGAACUUGUACAUAUGCAAAAUUUGACCACUUGACCCUUUGUUUUUAUUUAGCACACCACACACCAAAAGCCAUGCUGACUCUUGAAUGCGUCAGAAAAUCUUGACAGUUUUGUUGUUGUUGGAAAAAAGUGUCCAUAAUAUUUUAAGAUCGGCAGUUAAAAGUUGUGGCAAAAAUAUGUUGUUGGCUUAUUAGAAGAAUUUUUUAGGGGCUUGUUUUACUCGAAUAUUUUUCUUUCGUGUACGUGCCUGAACCUGGGUUUGACGUUGAUAAUAUUUGCGUAGCUAAUUGCAAUGGGACGUGAACAUCCAUGCAUCAGCAGCAGCAAAUAACAUGAGAUAGGAGUAACCCAUGUAAAUAAUUGUGGGGACAAAGUACGCAGGUUGAGUUUUAGGUGGCUAGGUUCAUUUUAAAAUUAAUUUGUAAAUUGAAAAUGCAAAUGAGGAAAGUGUGUAUGUACUAGUAGCUGAAAUGCUAUUGUUGUUGUUCUUUAAUUAUGCCUAUGUCACACUUUGGCAGGUUUUGACAAGACGACGUCGAUAAAUCCUACUGUCAAAGUUUGGCUGACGGUAAUAAUUGACAUAUAAGGAGAUUCGCUUUUUACUUCUUAAUGGACAUGGUCAAUAUCAUAUUACUGCUUUUGAAGACGUGUUUCCCGAGGUGCAAACUCGAUUGUCAAGCUUACUGAUCCCGACCAACCGACCAACUUUAGGUGAGGAGUGAUCACCUCAAUUCUUUGUGGCACCAAGUCGGAAGUUUGUUUGUGUCUAUGUAUUAUUUAGUCAAAAGGGAAGUCUAUUUUCAAUCCAGGAGCUCUUUACGAGUAACGAAUGAAUGGUGAUAACUACUUUUUUGUGUACAUACAAAUAAAAAACAACGUAACCUGGUUUCACGAUUUCCUACACGAACGAAAAGUGCAUGAUUUUUCUACAGGGAUAAUUCCAUAUAUAUUUAUUUACAAUGCUAACUAUGAGUAUUAACUUGGUGGAUGGAAGGAAAUCCUGGCAUUACUACGUUUAUUAUUGUACUAUCAUUAUUAUAUCAGCAGCACAAUAAUGAAAUGUAAAUUCAUUCUGCAUUGUGCCGAUGCAAGCUUUAUAUUUACUUGGGUGCAAUAUUAUUAGCAUAAAAGUUCAUCCAUGUGCUAUUUUAUCGUGUCAUGCAUAAAUUCUUUUUAAUUCGAUGCUCAUCUCCCCCUUGAUUUGGAGCGUGACGACCUUUGUUGUCUUGCAUGGGAUGGGAUACACAAUGUACAAUGAUACAAAAUAAUCGUAUGAAUUGAGUUAUCAAAAUCUAGCCUCGGUCUUGAAUUUACGGGAUGAUUGAUAAUCCAUUCAUGGAAUUUGAUCCGAUAAUUUUAAUGAAGCGGACUUCUUUUUACCAGGUUUAUUUACGGACUGAUUGACUUUUGCGGUGGUGCAUGAAUGAAAGCAAAUGCCGAGAAAAAAACUUAACUGGGAUUCCUAUUGUCUUAAUUAACUUUGGUGGAUACAAUUUAUGUGACAUGUUAACUUGGCUCACGCAUGGAUUAUAAUAGGAAUUUCCACAUGGUUGACGACUUUUAAUACGAUCCAAUGUUAGGAUUUGGCUCAAGGAAUGAAGUAAAGUUAACCGGUCUCAAUUGACUCAAUUUGUACAAAUUGGCUUUUCACGGGUUGUCAGUUAAUACAUAUUAGUGUGUCCUCUUUUCCGUGGACAGCCAAUAUAUACGCUUAAUUAAUCUCUGAUUCGUUUGGCGUAAAUGAAGACAUUUGAUAUCAAUUAGAUUACGGAGAUGAAUUUAAUGUUUAAAGUUAAAUGACAAUUUUUUUAGUAUUUUGAAAGUCUUAAAAAAGAGUGUAGAAUUUACCCUGAAAGCUCGAGAAAAUAAAGUCAAACUGAUGUUUUCUUCGAAUUUCCAUUAAAUCUUAAAUGCAUCAAAAUACGCUUAUUUAUUUUUCACUUCUACAAUUCAUGUUAACACAAUCAACACUAGAUUAAGUAGGUUUAAUUAAUUAAUAUGACUAAAAAAGAAUAAAAAAGAAUGCUUCUUAAUAAAUAAAAGUUGUAUGUACAUUUCUUGGA